UACGUAGGGUGCGAGCGUUAAUCGGAAUUACUGGGCGUAAAGCGUGCGCAGGCGGCGCGUUAAGACAGGUGUGAAAGCCCCGAGCUUAACUUGGGAAUUGCGCUUGUGACUGGCGUGCUGGAGUGUGGCAGAGGGAGGUGGAAUUUCACGUGUAGCAGUGAAAUGCGUAGAGAUGUGGAGGAACACCGAUGGCGAAGGCAGCCCCCUGGGAUGAUACUGACGCUCAGGCACGAAAGCGUGGGGAGCAAACAGG
rnacentral:rRNA from 1 species